rnacentral:rRNA from 1 species
UACGGAGGUGGCAAGCGUUGUCCGGAGUUACUGGGCGUAAAGGGAGCGUAGGUGGAUAUUUAAGUGGGAUGUGAAAUACUCGGGCUCAACCUGAGUGCUGCAUUCCAAACUGGAUAUCUAGAGUGCAGGAGAGGAAAGUAGAAUUCCUAGUGUAGCGGUGAAAUGCGUAGAGAUUAGGAGGAAUACCAGUGGCGAAGGCGGCUUUCUGGACUAUAACUGACACUGAGGCGCGAAAGCGUGGGGAGCAAACAGG